rnacentral:rRNA from 1 species
UUGAGAGUUUGAUCCUGGCUCAGGAUGAACGCUGGCGGCGUGGAUAAGGCAUGCAAGUCGAACGCUCCGCAGCAAUGCGGAGAGUGGCAAACGGGUUAGUAACACGUAGGAACGUACCGACGAGACGGGGAUAACUCCGCGAAAGCGGGGCUAAUACCCGAUGGUCCCCGAGAGUAAUCAAGGGGUAAAGCAGCAAUGCGCUCGUUGAGCGGCCUGCGUACUAUCAGCUUGUUGGUAGGGUAAUGGCCUACCAAGGCUAUGACGGUUAGGGGGUGUGAGAGCACGGCCCCCAACAUCGGAACUGAGAUACUGUCCGGACUCCUACGGGAGGCUGCAGUCAAGAACCUUCGACAAUGCGCGAAAGCGUGAUCGAGCGACGCCGCGUGACCGAAGACGCCCUUCGGGGUGUAAAGGUCUUUUCUAUGGGAACAAUUUUUGAGCGUACUAUAGGAAUAAGGGGCUGCUAAACUCGUGCCAGCAGCCGCGGUAAGACGAGUGCCCCAAGCGUUAUCCGAAUUUACUGGGCGUAAAGGGUCCGUAGGGGGUUUUGUUAGUCCCAGGUUAAAUUUCAAGGCUCAACUUUGAAGCUGCCUGGGAAACGGCAAAACUAGAGUGUGUGAGAGGCUGAAGGAACGCACGGUGUAGGGGUGAAAUCCGUUGAUAUCGUGCGGAACACCAAAGGCGAAGGCAAUCAGCUGGCGCAUCACUGACCCUGAGGGACGAAAGCGUGGGGAGCAAAAAGGAUUAGAUACCCUUGUAGUCCACGCCCUAAACGUUGGAUGCUAGCUGUAUAAAGUAUCGACCCUUUAUGUGGCGAAGCUAACGCGUUAAGCAUCCCGCCUGGGAAGUACGAUCGCAAGAUUAAAACUCAAAGGAAUAGACGGGAGCUCGCACAAGCGGUGGAGCAUGUGGUUUAAUUCGACAGUAAGCGAGGAACCUUACCAGG